UGCCCAGCAACUCCUAUCCCUACCUCCACGCGGUACCGGCCGGAAACUAUGAGCAACCUUAGGGAAGAUCGGGUAACCAACCCCGGUGAGAACUUUGGUCGUAGGCUGACAGGGAAGG
rnacentral:ribozyme from 1 species